rnacentral:rRNA from 1 species
UGCAGUCGACGGCACACGGGUGCUUGCACCUGGUGGCGAGUGGCGAACGGGUGAGUAAUGCGUCGGAACGUACCGAGUAAUGGGGGAUAACGCAGCGAAAGUUGUGCUAAUACCGCAUACGCCCUGAGGGGGAAAGUGGGGGAUCGUAAGACCUCACGUUAUUCGAGCGGCCGACGUCUGAUUAGCUAGUUGGUGGGGUAAAGGCCUACCAAGGCGACGAUCAGUAGCGGGUCUGAGAGGAUGAUCCGCCACACUGGGACUGAGACACGGCCCAGACUCCUACGGGAGGCAGCAGUGGGGAAUUUUGGACAAUGGGGACAACCCUGAUCCAGCCAUUCCGCGUGAGUGAAGAAGGCCUUCGGGUUGUAAAGCUCUUUCAGCUGGAACGAAACGGUACACGCUAACAUCGUGUGCUAAUGACGGUACCAGCAGAAGAAGCACCGGCUAACUACGUGCCAGCAGCCGCGGUAAUACGUAGGGUGCGAGCGUUAAUCGGAAUUACUGGGCGUAAAGCGUGCGCAGGCGGAUUGUUAAGCAAGAUGUGAAAUCCCCGGGCUUAACCUGGGAAUGGCAUUUUGAACUGGCAGUCUAGAGUGCGUCAGAGGGGGGUGGAAUUCCACGUGUAGCAGUGAAAUGCGUAGAGAUGUGGAGGAACACCGAUGGCGAAGGCAACCCCCUGGGAUGACACUGACGCUCAUGUACGAAAGCGUGGGUAGCAAACAGGAUUAGAUACCCUGGUAGUCCACGCCCUAAACGAUGUCAACUGGUUGUUGGGGGAGUGAAAUCCCUUAGUAACGAAGCUAACGCGUGAAGUUGACCGCCUGGGGAGUACGGUCGCAAGAUUAAAACUCAAAGGAAUUGACGGGGACCCGCACAAGCGGUGGAUGAUGUGGAUUAAUUUCGAUGCACGCGAAAAACCUUACCUACCCUUGACAUGUCCGGAAUCCUGCAGAGAUGCGGGAGUGCCCCGAAGGGAAUCGGAACACAGGUGCUGCAUGGCUGUCCUCAGCUCGUGUCGUGAGAUGUUGGGUUAAGUCCCG